ACCAGCUCAUCGUCUGGGUUCCACCAUCCACCCACGCACUCAUUUGGCAGCUAUCAACGGAGUAUUCACAGUACGCUGCUCACAGUUCUAACCGCGGAGGAUAGAGUUGAGGCCCACACGACAGCCCCUGCUCUCACAGAACUGAUGUCUCUAGAAGAGUCUUCCCUCAGUGAGAACGUUCUGAUUUCUAGAACAUUCUUUCUUCUGAUGAGUGAACAGCCUCACCGGAACUUCCCCAUCCUCCUGGCUUGGUUCCUGAAGUGGCCCAAGGCUGCCUUCUCCCUCCCGUGGGUGAACAGGGUCACUGCUUCCUCUCUUGUCCAGGCCCCCUGGCCUGACCCUGAGUCCCGGGCGUAACGGCGUUGUUGAACCACCACAACCCCAGGCGGCGCCUUCCUCUUGGCCCAGGGGCUCUCUUGGGGACAGUGUGCAGUACUCCCCAAGGGGGCUUUGCUGUGCAAAAGCAGCCCCUGCCGAUGCUGCGGCUCCCGUGGAUGGAGCACUGCCGUGGGAACAGAGUUGGAACUCAUCCAAAAGAAUAAAAGACAACUGUGUUGGAAGAUUGCCAAGGUUUGUAGCUGUGCCACCGCAGACUUCAGAGAUGAACACUGCCUUGGAGACGAGGAGGAUUCAAGUUGCAGAAGCAUUUAGAAACCUCAAACUUGAGACACGGUGGGAAAUCAGGAAGACAUGAGGCUUUGCUCAACACUGGAGAACACCAGUUCUUUUCAGUUUGUAUGCAUCUUUAUCAGGUAGACACAAACAAAGAGGCAACAAAGAAAUUAGAAGGUUGUAUAAGAAGCUGCAUAGAAUCACAAUGACUGCGUUGUCCUGAAACCAACCCAGGGGGAGCAUGAACCAAUGAAGUACCACCGUACCUGACCAGGGAGACACAGAUGAGGAAUUGCAAAGGAAAGAUGUGGCUGCAUCAGAGAAGCCUGCUCAAUUUUUUGCAGAAGAUGAAUGAUUAAUUCAUCACCUGCAGUGACACUGGACUUAUUAUCAUUUUGCUUUCUAAGACUGUUUUACAAAUAACUGGUCAGUUAGUUAAGAAACUGGGAAAUAUUCAUUAUAAUAUAGUGAAGAAGUUGGUCCAGAAAUUAGAGAUCUGGCUUCUCCUCUCUAUUUUGUCUUUAGCUAAAGAUAAGCAAAACUUUUUCACUCUCUGGACUUCAAUGUUCUCAUCUUAAAUAAAGGUUUUGGGACAAAAGUGUCUUAAAUUUCUAACCUGAAAAUUCUCUUGCCUUGUGAAGGGUGUAAUAUUUGGAUUUUUAUUUUACUUAUUUUAGCCACACAUUCUGGCAAAUUUCAUUUCAUGGUCUGAAAAAGUGAAGCACUUCUAAGAAAAUAUUUAGAAGAUAGACUAUUUCUGGUGUAAAACAUGGCCAAUAAAACUUAAGCAUAAUCAAAUUCUCUAUAUAUUUUCAUGUUCAACUUGUCUUCUCAAGCUAACUCACCACAGAUCACUCUUUAUGAAGAUAUUUAUCAAUUAAUCAUACACCUCCUGAAUUUUGUGUAAGUGUGAUGCAUGGUAUGUGUAUUAUGAAUUAUUUUCUCUAACCCAGUAGGGAAGCAUGGUAGUGUAGUAUGUGGACUAGGUUCAAAUAUCAACUCUGGCGCUCACUAGCUAUCUUAUCAUGACAAUGGAUUUUAUUGACUCUAAAUCCCAAUUUCUUCAUUUAAUAAAGGAUGAUGAUGAUAUCUGCAUAAUGUAGUAGCCUUUGCAAGGAUUGCAAACAUUAAUGCAGGGCAGGAGAGCGUGCACAUGACUGAGCUCCCGUUAUGUUCCUGGCACUACAGGUCCAUAGUAGGUGCUCAGUCAGCACAGGUCCUUCACCUUCUGCUGCACGAUAAGGUUUUUUGUUUUGUUUUUGUUUUUGUUUUUGAGACGGAGUUUCACUUGUCACCCAGGCUGGGGUGCAAUGGCAUGAUCUCAGCUCACUGCCUCCCUGCAACCUCCGCCUCCCAGGUUCAAGCGAUUCUCCUGCCUCAACCUCCUGAGUAGCUGGGAUUACAGGUGCCCACCACCACGCCUGGCUAAUUUUUGUAUUUUUAGUAGAGACAGGGCUUCACCAAGUUAGCUAGGCUGGUCUCAAACUCCUGACCUCAGGUGAUCCGCCCGCCUCGGUCUCCCAACGUACUGGGAUUACAGGCAUGAGCCACCGCGCCUGGCCACGAGAAGCUUUUUGAAACAAGCAACUCUCUCUUCUUCUUUGUAAAUGCCACCUAUAAGCAGCAAUUUACAGAGUAGGAGCUUAAUAUAGGCUGAGUGGUUGGAGUGAAAGACUGCUCAAUACUGAGAGGGAACAUAGCAUUGAAGAAGGCUUUCUUUGAGUAAAGGGAAUUAGAAGAGGGAUUAAGCCAAUAAAAUGUAAUGUCAUGGAGACCACACAGAAGAUGGGAGCCUUCACAUGGAGGGUGAAAUACAGCAGUGGCUGUGCUGUCAGGCUAGACCAAAAAACUAUUAUCCCAUUAAAAUGCUUCUCCUCUGGCUCCUUUGCAAGGUGGCAGAACUGUAAAAAUGUUGUGCAUUAUUUCCUUGCAAAUCAUGAUGGAAAUGCUGUGGAAUUGUGCAUGAGAACUUAAAGGAUUCAUCACGGCUUAUUCCAUUAAAAUAAACACCAAAGAAAGUAAUAAUGGUAUGCCAUUUAUUAUGCAGUAUUGUCAACCUUUUUAUAUGUUAAAUGGAAUCUCCACAGGCUUGCUAAUGGUAUAUAGGCCAUAAAGCCUUUAAGCAAUAAUGUUUAACUGUAUCUGAAAUAGUGGAAUCUUCUGGUGGUUGCAUAAGUGGCCUGGUUUUUAAAUCUUCUCAGUGAGAAUAUCAGAAAUGCAACAAAAGGCCCCUGGGAUAUUCUUUUUCAGAACAGGGGACAAUCAGUCAACAAAUACAAGGCUUUGUCCUUGUCAUGUAUGGUAGCAUGUGUGCAUGAGCAGGCAUGAUGACACCAGGCCUUUAAAUUAACAAGCCAAAAAAAAAAAAGUAACGUUGGGACUAAGGUACACAAAUUGCCCAAAUCUGAACUGAACUUCCUUGUUAGGCUUUAUUUUGUUUUGCUUCAACAGAGUCUCAAACCAGAUUUAUUUUUAGUUAACCCCUGGAAAAGUAGUACUAACAUGUUGAAAAGAAAUAGAUAAGAAAUGCUAAAAUAUUUCCUAUUAUGAACCUGAAAUGAACAUAUGUUUAUUACAUGUAAGUGACGGUCAUUGAUUUUCUUCUCCCUCCACUCCCACCUUCAUCUUAAUUUCCUUCCCUUCUUUGGUUUUAUCCUUCCUCCUCUCUUCCCCUUUGUUUUCACUUUUUCCUUUCUCCAAGUUUGAGAUACACUUUCUCCUUGUCAAGUGAGUAGCUUCAAAAAUAUAACAGUCCUUAGCAGAAAGGAAUUUCAGAAUAUCAUCGGACCUGAGCUCCGAGUUUCAGAUUCAAUUGCCCUUAAAAGGCACAUAGAUGAUCGUUGAUCCAACUCCUAAACCUUAGUGCCUCAUGCUCAGGGUAAGUGGUAGUGAGGAAAGGUAAAUUUCUAUAGGGGAGAGCACCUACAAAAAUUACCUCCUUUAGGUUACAUGCUGGGGUUCAUCCCUGGAAUGACAGAGGGAUAUUCCAUUUCAGUUCUCCAUGCAUAUGUGAAGCUAUCAGUGCAUAUAAUUGUCAGGGUUCCAUAGCCUUGGGUGUUAAUACAUGGAGUGAUUGAUUUCAUUAUAAACCAUAAUUUACUGUUUAUACUUCCUUCCAACUUCAUGAAUACUGAUUGGUGGGAGCAGACCAAUGCAUUGUAGAAUAUAAUUCCAAAUGAGUAGUUUCCACGUAAAAUUUAAACAUGUCAUAGUAUACCAUGCCUAAUACAUUAAACUGUGCAUGUGUCAAAUGAAAAAUUCUUUUGUGAGAAAUGAGCAAGUAUUUAUAAAGAAUUUGGCUGAUGCUAUGAGCAAAGACUUUCAAAAUAAGGAGCCAAAAGUUUCCUUUUGAACUGUGAACUCUUGCAGUUUUCAAUCAAAAUGAGCCCAAGUGGAACCUGGGAGAGCAGUAAUGAACUGUUUAAAUUAGAAGAAUGGUACAAUAGUAUUAAAUAUCUGGUGGGCUUUAAAGCACCAGAAACAGGAAUUCCUUUUGUCAUGCAGUAGCAGAACAAUUUGUUAUUUCAGUAAACACAUGAAUCAAUUCCAGCAGGAUAGAUGGAUAUUUUCUGAAGAUGGGUCAGGGUUUUUUCAAUUUAAAAAAAUAGCAAAGGUGGUUUCUGUUAAAGUUGCUGCAGGGAAAAUUCCAGUGACCCAAUCCUUGUUCCCAUAUUUGUUAAAGGAGUAUAAAUAUCUUGUGGUUAGGGACAAUGUAGGAAAGAGGGGGACAUAGUAGGUAAUCAAUAAAUUGCUGUUAUAAUAAUUAAGAAAGGGUUUGCCUGGUAAAUUCAGACUGUUAACGAAAUUGCAAGGGCAAGUUAAAAUUGCAAAAUAUGCCUGUCUGACACCAUUUGUGUGCAAUUGAUUGGAUCAUUUAAAUAACGCUUAAGAAAAAAUAGAGCCCUUUCCUACAAUGAGUAACAAGGCAAAGCUUAACCAGAUUCCAUCCAUAUGUAUUUGUCAAUACUUGAUAAUAUUGAGCACUCCUAGACCUAGUUAGGACAGAGAGACAGUGCAGUGCUGGAGUCCAGCUGCCAGGUUUCAAACUCCAUCUCUGCUGCUGACUGGCUGGGUGCAUUUAGCUCACGUCUCUGUGCUGCUCAGCUCAUUUCAUCUGAGAAGCAAGGGACAAUCAUGGCACAUAUUUCAUAUAUCUGCAGCUGGUGUUAAAUAUAAUCCUUGCAGAGCAGGUAGUGUUAGGAAGUGCUCAACAGAGGCUUAUUACUUUAAGUGUUCUUAGUCUAAGAGAGAUCUGGGCAAUAAUGGAAAGUUAGAAGAAUCUACCCUGAUAAUAUAGGGUAACUUUCCAUCUUGGGGGCAUUUUAGAAGAUAACUGGCCAUGGAAAGAGAUGGAAAACUAUUAAAUUUAACCGUUUAUUAUUCCACACAAACUGAAAAAUGUCAAAGGUAUUUGAGAUUUCCUCUCCUCCCAUCCAAUGUCCCUAACACUAGAAAAGAGAAAUUUAGAAGCUUUAUCAGAUCAUAGAUACACCGAUAGGUUUAGCAAUGAUUGGGGGAUCUAAGAGCUGGUUGAUUAGAAACACACAACUUUUGUGACCUAACAUAUUAAGUUGGCUUAGUAUCUAGGGGAACACUUCAGUGAGUCUAGGCUGAAAUCCAAGAUCUCCCUUUAAUGCAGAGAACAGAUGGUGGAACAAUAAGUCCAAAGACCAUUAACGUCUUGCAGAUAUUCCUGACUUCUAUAAUUCUGCCAGAAUCAGUAGUUCAUGCACAUGAGUCUAUUCCCCCUUGAGAGUUCAGACAGGAUGUGUUCUCAUUAAGUUAAAGAUAAAAAGAUUAGGUUCACUGGAGAAAAUGUUUUGUGGGUAUCUUCAAUUAAAUCUCAGCAGUUUAUAACUAUAUAUUUAAUUUCCUCCCACAGAGACUAGUAAAGAACUACAACACCUUGGAGUCCCACAAGCAUUUUAUGACAUGAAAAGCCCAUGAAACAGAUUGAAAAAAGGGGAAAGCCUGUAGAAUAGAUGGCAACUUCACUAACAUCUUUAUUUUUUUUAAAUUGUAUCUAUUCCUAUGCUCUAAUGAUCUAGAAUUUUCAGUGAAUCCCUGGGAAACUUAAAGAAUGCUGUGAGAGCAUUCUUUUUUAAAUAUUUAAGAAAAGAGACAUUUACUUUUAUAAAGAAGAACAUAUGGCCUUGUUUGUUAUUGUGAAUCCUUGGUUCUAAAUACUGCUGUCACCCAGGCAUGUGUUCCCAACAUUAACCUUUGUCUGAACUAUUCUUAUCCCUAUGUAGGUGUAUUUUAUAUCUGCAUCUUCCAUUAAGCCUUCAACUAACCAUUUAACACACACACACGCACACACAAAUUGGCCCCCAAGUAUUUUUAGGUUUCAAUCCUCUUAUUUUUCACAUGUUAAACUCAUGGACCUUAUAUUUAAGUAUAUUUUCUGCACCUGCUCUCUGCCCAGACCCCUCCCUUAAUUGACCUGAGGUCUCUCCUCUCUCUGAUGCUGAAGGGUCUACUUAUGGUGCAAGGAUUUUCUAUACUGUGGUGAUUACAGAAAUGUAUGAUUGAAGUUUAUUAUAUGUCAAUGAUGAAAGGGAUAGUCCUGAUUUUUUAAUAAUGGGAUUUAUCCUGAUAACUUUGAAGUAAAUAAAACAUUCAUCUUUGUGGCUUUACUAAAACAUAGCUGUUAAUGGACACUGUAUCCCCUUUAAAAUUUUCUUCUUUUUUUACUUUAUUCACACACUUUUCCAUGGAAACCCCAAACAUUAAUUUAAAAAAAUGGUAUUAGUUUUCUUUGAGAUAAUAAAAUUUUAAUGUAAUAAAUAAAGGGGAAAAUAAGUUUAUGAAACAAAUUGCUAUUAGAAACCUGGUUUUGAAGAGUUUUUGUUUCCCAUUGCAUGACGGAUGAAUUUACAUACACAUACAUGCAAAAAUGCUAUAAUCCUAAAUUGUUUGGUUCUGAUGAGAAAAAGAUCAUAUUUAGGAAAUUAAAUAUUGGGUAGAUAAAUCUAUAUAUAUGAUCAAACUGAUCAAACUAUUAUAAAAUCAAUGAUCCUAAGACUUAAGAUAAUUAUAUAUGAAAAUAAUUCCUGCACAUACAUUGUGAAAAUUUAGUCUCUCUCCAAGCUCAGUGCCUAAUCCCACUCAAGGGUGACCACUUGGAGUGGAGCCUUGUCAAUACCCAAACAUGUUCCUUGCAUGUUGUGCACAUAUAAGCACACAAGUACGUAGUUUAUAUAUCAAUCCUCUCUUUUUGAACAGAAACAAGAGUACAGCAGAUAGCAUUGUUCUGACCUAGAAUCUUUUAAAAAUCUUUAUGAACAAAUAUGGAAGCACAUUCUGCUUUUUGAAAAUUUUUUUAGGUGAUUAUAUGAUGUAGACUAUAUAUAUUCUCUAUACUGUAUAAAAGGAGUUGUCAAAUUAUGGCCACAGAUCUACCACCUGUUUUUCUAAAUAAAGCUUUACUGGAACACA